GGGGAGAGUCCUCGCGUCGCUCCUUCGAACCUUUCCGAGGCUUCAAUACCUCCCACACCCGUGUGCACCCGCUGUAGGUCCUUAGGGACCUAUGUCUUCUUCGAACUCGCAUGUCUACAGAACGUCGUCCGUGGCCUCGGCCAUCGUAAACCUAGUACAACUUUCAGCAAUGGAUCUCUUGGCUCUCGCAUCGAUGAAGGACGCAGCGAAUCGCGAUAAGUAAUGUGAAUUGCAGAUUUUCCGUGAAUCAUCGAAUCUUUGAACGCACCUUGCGCUCCUCGGUAUUCCGAGGAGCAUGCCUGUUUGAGUGUCAUCGAAAUAUCGAAUCGAAGCUUUCGACCCCGUCGGAGCUAGGUUUGGACUAUGGGAGUCUGCGGGCGUGGAACCUCCUCCUGUCGGGAGGGGGGGACGUCGGCUCUCCUCAAAAGCAUUAGCGGCGUGUGCGAAGCCUCGCACGGCACGGCCUCUUCGACGUCAUAAUGACCGUCGUGGGCUGGAAGUGCGUGGAUCGCGUCGC
rnacentral:rRNA from 1 species